CACCUCUGAAGAAGGGAAAGAUACACAGGCUUGUUGGUUCGCUCGGCAGUAGCAGUCCAUGAAAGGGCUGAAGCAGCUGACCUUCCUCCUUCGGCACACCUACAAGCCAGGGUAGAUUCUUGAUGUCCAGUGCUGUCCCUUUUUUGACUUCACAUGCCACAGAAAGGCAACACCUUUGAAACAUCUCAAAGUUUUGCAGACCUGGACUUUUCCAUGCCAUAAGACUGUUUAAAUCUGUGGACUUAUGCCUAAUUGCUAUGUAAGAAGGGAGGUAUUCCUGGUAAUUCUAUUCAAGCUCAUUGUUUUUGACAAGACAUUUUGGUACAAGAUGGGCAGAAUGGCCAACCAACAACUUAUUAACUGAUGAGGGCAUAGAUGAUUGUAAGUUCUAGGAAUAAAGUUGUCUUUUUUACCAAA